UAGGGAAUCUUCCGCAAUGGGCGAAAGCCUGACGGAGCAACGCCGCGUGAGUGAUGAAGGUCUUCGGAUCGUAAAACUCUGUUAUUAGGGAAGAACAAAUGUGUAAGUAACUAUGCACGUCUUGACGGUACCUAAUCAGAAAGCCACGGCUAACUACGUGCCAGCAGCCGCGGUAAUACGUAGGUGGCAAGCGUUAUCCGGAAUUAUUGGGCGUAAAGCGCGCGUAGGCGGUUUUUUAAGUCUGAUGUGAAAGCCCACGGCUCAACCGUGGAGGGUCAUUGGAAACUGGAAAACUUGAGUGCAGAAGAGGAAAGUGGAAUUCCAUGUGUGGCGGUGAAAUGCGCAGAGAUAUGUAGGAACACCAGUGGCGAAGGCGACUUUCUGGUCUGUAACUGACGCUGAUGUGCGAAAGCGUGGGGAUCAAACAGG
rnacentral:rRNA from 1 species